GGUUUGGCACCAUGAUGAGCGACAAACUCAGUUCAGUGUCACAUCCCAAGUCCAAUGCAGAUUGGAUAGAAGAUCCUGUCGAAAAACGAAGUGCCCUCGCAUCCUUCAAGAACGUUCUCGAAGUCCUGGCAAACGCACAGCAACAGUGGCACACAGGACCUGAAGUGACUUCUGGUAAUGAUGACUCUCCCGACAGCUUCUUCAUGUUCGGGAAAAGUAAAGAGAGGACGACUGCACCAUGGGAACUAGAAUUCACUAAGUAUGUCUCUGCCUGCGCCCACAUCUCUUGACUCUUUCAACGACCUCCCCACCAUAAAAUCAGCUUUCCUGAAGUAUAAUACAUCUUUGCCAACUAGUGCUUCUGUGGAGAGGCUGUUCAGUAUUGGAGGUAUCAUCAUGGCAAAAAGAAGAGGAAGCCUGUCAGAUGAGAACUUUGAAAAUGUCUUGCUCCUCAGGAUCAAUGGGCACUACCAGCUUAAGUGAAGUAGAGUUUGCAUCCAGUGUGUACAGGAGUCAACCCCUCUGAGAAAGAGCCCGUAUGGGGAAAUGUUUCUGCCAACCCCCAGGAGACCAGUCAGGCUCGUUUGAAAUGUCAAGUGAGGACGCGGCCCUGGAUCUGAAGCCAAAAUCGCUCUUCGCCAUCAGGAUUUUUGCCGUGUCAGGCAAUCUGAACAACGACAGGGAGAUGGAACGCAAGAUGAAACCGUGAGCGACUUUGUGCAGACGG